rnacentral:rRNA from 1 species
GACGAACGCUGGUGGCGUGCUUAACACAUGCAAGUCGAACGGGAAGGCUCUGCUUUUGUGGGGUGCUCGAGUGGCGAAAGGGUGAGUAACACGUGAGUAACCUGCCCUUGACUUUGGGAUAACUUCAGGAAACUGGGGCUAAUACCGGAUAGGAGCUCCUGCUGCAUGGUGGGGGUUGGAAAGUUUCGGCGGUUGGGGAUGGACGCGCGUCUUAUCAGCUUGUUGGUGGGGUAGUGGCUUACCAAGGCUUUGACGGGUAGCCGGCCUGAGAGGGUGACCGUCCACAUUGGGACUGAAAUACGGCCCAGACUCCUACGGGAGGCAGCAGUGUGGAAUAUUGCACGAUGGGCGGAAGCCUGAUGCAGCAACGCCGCGUGCGGGAUGACGGCCUUCGGGUUGUAAACCGCUUUCGCCUGUGACGAAGCGUGAGUGACGGUAAUGGGUAAAGAAGCACCGGCUAACUACGUG